GUACCUCAUCACUUAUUUUAUUCCAAAUUUCCCCUCAUCACUCAUUUAACACUCUCAUUUCCCGUCGUGGACGCUCUGCCUCUAAAUUCGUUGAUAGAGCGGAGAAGAGAAGAUCAGAUUGACAAAGCCUAGCAUGAUAGUUUAAUCGAGCAUGUCAAAGCCUCUGCCAUAUUCAAUGAAAGUGUUCGUUAUGAUUACGCAAAGUUUCGUCACUGAUCUUUCUUCUAGGACCUUGACAAACCCUGUGGAGCUCAUAAAAUGCUUGAGAUCCAUUAAAGAGAAUGUUUUUUCUACAUCUAGGUAUCCUGUUAUAAUUACUCUUGAAGACCACCUGACACCAUAUCUUCAGGCUAAAGUAGCUAAGAGUGAUAGUGAUUCAAGUGAAGAUGAUGUCGAUGACCAAGGGAGCCUUUCAGAAGCAUCUGACUAAAGGAGCCUAAUUGUCAUUCAUGUUUAAAACUAAGCGCCUUUGUUCAAGAAGUUUUGCUAUGUCAGGUUCCUCGUUGCUGCAGCUGGCUUGCAGAGUUUGUUGAGCCUUUCUCUGGUCAUUGUACACAUUUAUGCCCUUCUGAUGAUGCAAUCCUUGCAGAAUAAUCGAAUUGUUACUUUGUUUGCUAUUGGUGAUGAGAUAACAUCUACUCUUACAUUUGCUGCAGCAUGCGUGCAUCUACGGGUACCACCCUACUUGCAUUUUGUGUUUCUAUUGUUUAUUCUAAUAAACCAUAAAAUGGCUUCUAUAGAUUGACGUUAUGACAUAGUGAACUUAGAAGGAUUUUGUCAAAUACUAUCGAGCUUAAGGACUUGUGACAUUUUACAAAAAUAUUUGGUUGUUUGGUAGGAUUUUUUUUUCUGAUUAUUAAUUUGGUAGGAUUGACAUUAUGGCUAAUUCGAUUUAUUUUGAUUUCCUUUACUUUGUUUGAUGAUUAGUUUGUAAGAAAAAAAAAGUACAACUUAUAAUAAAUUUAUGAGUCGGAGUCAUUAACACAUGACUUUGAAUAAGCAUAUAAUAAAUUUAUGAGUAAUGUUAUGUGCACAACAUAUACAAAUAUUUUAGAGAUUUGUAAUCAGAAUGUCUUGUGAUCAACACAAACAAUAGACCCAUUGGGAAACAAGAAAAGACUUUUUAUAAAAACCUAGGCAAAUGUAGACAUUUCGACUAUUAGAUUGAACUAAAUUAAAAAUCUCGUGUCGUCUUGUUGCAUUCAUUUUCUCCCAUUUAUACUAUAAUUUCAUUUUCUCCCCAACUGUGACUGCAUGGCUGUGACUCCUCGGAGAUACUCCUUCAAACUGUGCGACCUGGGUAUGCCAUGAAGCUCAUUUCUUAAUUUCAAUGGUGCCGACUUCCGUCUCCUGAUUCUUAGUUUCGUGCCCACCUUUUUGUAGGAAAUAGGGAGAAGAGGAAGCUUAGUAAUCAUGUCCAUUUUUUUUUCCACACGCAGGAGAUGAAGAUUGGUGAGAGCAUUGAACACUUUCCUGAAUCCUUUGUUUCCAACCUUGGGGCUGGCAAAGACGAAGGCUGUGACCAUGCAUGCUUUGUCCGAACCUGUGCGCUUGUUGUAUUGAUUAGCGACUAUAUCAGUUGCGCUCAAUGUUGCAAGAGCUGCACCCAGACUGUGACCUGCUACAGUUAUACUAAUUUCCUCUGUCCUGUACUUGGGCUUGUUCACCAGUUUCUUAAUAGCGUUCAACACCUACAUAAAAAUGGUCAUAAUAGAAAUUCAUAGGAAGAAAGUUUACGGAUGGCUUAAUAUGAUUGAGUAGACGUAGACUAGUUUUAAGGUUUAUUGCAUAUUUGAUAUAGAGUCAUAACCAACCGUAUAUUCCUAUUUCCGAAGCCCAGACAAUAAUUUUAUCCAUGGGGAGGUUUUGUGAGAGAAAAUACGUUCACAACAAUUCAGGGUAAUUUUAGGAAAUCUGUUGAUUCCAAAAACAUGAUACGCAUACAUUCUUGUAACCUUAAACUAAUUUAAUUGAAUAUGUUUAAACUAAUUCUACCCAACUUGUGAGUCAAACUGAGUCAAACUCUCUCUAGUUCGAGUUUAGUUCAAUUUAAAAAAUGAGUUGAACUUUUUGACUUGAAUUCAGUUUGAAUUCAAGUUAAAUAAAUUUGAAUCCAGCUAACCAGAAUUUUGAGCCAGAGCUAGUGCAGAUCAGGUCCAAUCCUAUGAAUAUACUAUGGAUUGGAUUGAUUAUAUUUUGUCCAACCCUAUGAAUGCACAAUGGAUUGGAUUGAUUUUUUAACUCUUUUGUCAAUAGAGGUGGAUUCCAGGAAAUUUGUGGAUUCAUAAAGCAUAACAUUCAAGUAUUCUUGUAACCUUAAACUAUUUUAAUUCAAUGUUUUUAUAACCUA